CCAUAGCAAUUGGGGCAGGUUCCGUGUUUCCCUAGUUACUCCUGACUGAUAACCAUCUGUUGUUCUGCUCUGCCACAGCCCCAAAGGGGAGAAGGGGAAGAAAUGAGGAAGAUAAAAUGGGUGUUAGAGAAUAUGAAAGUUAUUUACUGCAGUAAAUAAGUGCUGACCCAGGCUGAGAAAAAUCAUCUCAUGACACAUGUAAAGAAGGUGUCACACAAACUCUGCCUUGGUGAGGCGUUACUCCACUGCUACCCACUGCUCGGCCCAAAUCCACCAAAUCUGGAAGUUUGUGCAACACCACCCCAGCAGCACAACAAAAAAAGCCUGGUUAACAGGGCAUGUACAGAACAAUAAAAGACGCACAGCUGUCAGCAGCACAAUGAGGUUUUAUAAAAUUUCAGGAACUGAGUGCACCGCUUCCAGUUCCACUUACCUACAUUACUUCUAAAUUAAAAUGUGCUUCCCCAGCCUCAGGACACGUAAAAUACCAACCCAAAGGAGAGAACAGGCAGACAGCUGCUUCCUCUGCCAGGACUGCAGCAACAAGAAGAAGGUCUUGUGCAAGACAGCUUUCACUCUGAAGGAAAAGAAUCAUUUUGUAUUCUGGUCUGAUUGUACUGUGGCUGCCUUAUAAGCACCUUUUGACAGACAGGAUAUUGAGAUGGAAUUACACAGUGAAAUAAUCCUGAACACUGCUGAACGUCUCAUGUUCCUUCCAAAGGAGGAUUGAGAUCCUCACUUCCUCUGGUAAAACAAAAGGAAGGAAGAACUCCAGGUGUGAAACCAAUGAACGAGAGCUGUGUGCACAUUACCUCAGAGUUACUGCUUACUGUUGGAAACCAGUUGAAAAAAUAACUCCAAACAGUCCAGAGAACUGGAGUGGAAUUUACUUCCAUAUGAAGACAGAAUUCUCUCAUUUGUUCCUCUGACAUUUAUGGAACUAGCAAAGGGUAAACAAAAGCAAAAUCAGAUCCCGCAGGCUUUUGUUAGGAAAAAAUAGUAGAGGAGAAUGGCAUUCUGUGGCAAAAAUCAGCUGUGCAAAUGGGACCAUCAUCUCAGGGCCUUCCCAGGGCUUCUAGCCUACUUUUUUCCCUCUGACCUUAAAUAAAAUAAUUGUUAUUGUUACCUCAGAGGUAUUUCAUUAAGGCUAAUAUCAGAUUUAAACCCAGACAAUCAACAUUACAUUACUUCUAUUAACCUCCAAACAAGUAUUUGAGUGCCCGAGGAUUCCUUCUAUGCUUCAUUCAGAGCUAGAUCCUUAUUUUACAUUGGACAUAUUGAAAACACUGCAGAUCCCAAGCACAAAUGCUUUUUUUAAAAUUAAAUAAAAGAGGAAUCCUCCACUGGAUCUCCACAAUAUCCAUGCGUGAACAACCUGAUCUUGUGUAGGGGUCCCUGUUCACUGCAGGGCAUUGGACUAGAUGACCUUUACAGGACUAUUCCAACUCAAAUGAUUCUAUGAUUCAAUGUGAUUGAUUACACACAACCAUGUAACAACACUUGCUGUAUAAACAUGGUAAACAUAUGU